rnacentral:sRNA from 1 species
UCUGGGAGUGGUGGCGCACACCUGUAAUCCGAGCAGCUUGGAGGCUGAGGCAGGAGGAUCACAAGUUCAAAGCCAGCCUCAGCAAAAGCAAGGCGCCAAACAACUCAGUGAGACCCUGUCUCUG